GUCAGUGCCACUCAGGACACAGCAUGGACAUGAGGGCACCUGCUCAGCUCCUGGGGCUCCUGCUGCUCUGGCUCCUAGGUGCCAGAUGUUCCGGCCAAACAGUAACCCAGAGUCCAUCUGUGGUGUCUGCACCUGUAGGAGGCACAGCCACCAUCAAUUGCCAGUCAAGUCCGAGUGUUUACAACAACAAUUAUCUAAACUGGCUUCAGCAGAAACCAGGGCAACGUCCAAAGCUCCUGAUCUAUGAUGCAUCCACUUUAGCCUCUGGGGUCCCCUCGAGGUUCAAGGGCAGUGGCUCUGGGACAUCAUUCACUCUCACCAUCAGCGGGGUGCAGGCUGAGGACGCAGGAACCUACUACUGUGCUGGGUAUUAUUAUACUAGUGGUAGUUGGACUUACACAGUGAUACAAGCCUGAACAAAAACCACCCAUGAAAGCAGAAGUGUGAACCUGAGCUUGCCUAGCUUCCUGGAGCCCUAAUCUACCAACAGUCACUCUCUGUUGCGGUCAGCCUUCCAUGGACUCUUUAACAUAGGGAUCACGCUCUGUGGAAUACUGUAGCCUCUCUCAUUUGCCUUUACUGGGCACUUCCAGUAUAGUACUGAUUUAAAGGAAAGAAAUAAUUAUG